GAUGAACGCUAGCGAUAGGCCUAACACAUGCAAGUCGAGGGGCAUCACAUGAAGUAGCAAUACGGAUGGUGGCGACCGGCGCACGGGUGAGUAACACGUAUGCAACCUGCCUUCAACAAGGGGAUAACCCGUUGAAAGACGGACUAAUACCCUAUAACACAGGGGUCCCGCAUGGGAAUAUUUGUUAAAGGACAACCGGUUGAAGAUGGGCAUGCGUUCCAUUAGCUAGUUGGCGGGGUAACGGCCCACCAAGGCAACGAUGGAUAGGGGAACUGAGAGGUUUAUCCCCCACACUGGUACUGAGACACGGACCAGACUCCUACGGGAGGCAGCAGUGAGGAAUAUUGGUCAAUGGACGCAAGUCUGAACCAGCCACGUUCGCGUGAAGGAAGACGGCCCUACGGGUUGUAAACUUCUUUUAUACGGGGAAUAAAGUGCCCCACGCGUGGGGUUUUGCAUGUACCGUAUGAAUAAGGAUCGGCUA
rnacentral:rRNA from 1 species